CCUACGGGAGGCAGCAGUGAGGAAUAUUGGUCAAUGGGCGCGAGCCUGAACCAGCCAAGUAGCGUGAAGGAUGACUGCCCUACGGGUUGUAAACUUCUUUUAUAAAGGAAUAAAGUGAGGCACGUGUUCCUUUUUGUAUGUCCUUUAUGAAUAAGGAUCGGCUAACUCCGUUCCAGCAGCCGCGGUAAUACGGAGGAUCCGGGCGUUAUCCGGAUUUAUUGGGUUGAAAGGGGGCGUGGAUGGGUUGUUAAGUAAGUUGUGAAAGUUUGCGGCUUAACCGUAAAAUUGCACUUGAGACUGGAAGUCUUGAGUACAGUUGAGGUUGGUGGAAUUCGUGGUGUAGCGGUGAAAUGCUUAGAUAUUACGAAGAACUCCGAUUGCGAAGGCAGCUUACUAAACUGCCACUGACAUUGAUGCUCGAAAGUGUGGGUAUCAAACAGGAUUAGAUACCCCAGUAGUC
rnacentral:rRNA from 1 species